rnacentral:rRNA from 1 species
GACGAACGCUGGCGGCGUGCUUAACACAUGCAAGUCGAACGGAAAGGCCCCUUUGGGGGUACUCGAGUGGCGAACGGGUGAGUAACACGUGAGUAACCUGCCCUAGACUUCGGGAUAACUUCAGGAAACUGGGGCUAAUACCGGAUAGGAAUCCUUGCUGCAUGGUGGGGGUUGGAAAGCUUCGGCGGUUUUGGAUGGACUCGCGGCUUAUCAGCUUGUUGGUGGGGUAGUGGCUUACCAAGGCUUUGACGGGUAGCCGGCCUGAGAGGGCGACCGGCCACAUUGGGACUGAGAUACGGCCCAGACUCCUACGGGAGGCAGCAGUGGGGAAUAUUGCACAAUGGGCGGAAGCCUGAUGCAGCAACGCCGCGUGCGGGAUGACGGCCUUCGGGUUGUAAACCGCUUUCAGCAGGGGCGAAGCUUGUGGUGACGGUACCUGCAGAAGAAGCACCGGCUAACUACGUG